CUGUAAGAAGAUCUUUGUAACUGUUUUGUUUAUAUAAGAUAUUUUCGAUGUGUAAAGUGUACAAGUCGUGUGUGAUGUUAAGUGUGUGUGACACUCUACACAAAUGGACCAUUAGAAAACUUAAAAGUCAACAAAAUGAAGCAGACUCACACACACUGACAACAUCGAAAGAAAUGGCUUAACACACAUAAAAAACGCACUUGAAAAUGGGAAUUAUUUCUCGAAACGCGUCGUGCAAAUAGUAAAAUAAGAAAAAAUCGUGACUGGUAGCAGAAGAUUUAUUUAUUUAUAAACAAACCUAUCUUCAGUAAUUGUUGGUAUGUUAUUGGUAGGUAUCGUGGGUACUGAUGUACCAUCGUUGUUAAGGAUACAUUUCUGAUAUUAAUCGUGUACAUGGUUUGGUUUGUUGCACUGAGAACUUUGGUUUAGAUAGAGUAAGUGAAAGUGUUGUAUCUAGCGCUUUGCUUGAGCUUUGUGGCUGAAGUGACUUUUGCAACACCAUGUUUUAGAGUGAAUGGUUCCUGGUAUUAAGGGCAUUGUUGGAGCUGUGUAGCUCAAGUGAAAAUUGUGGUGAGUUUUUGAAUUCUGUAUGGGUUACUGGUAUUGAGGUCUUCAUUUGAGAUAUAUAGGUCAUGUGAAAUUUACAACACAAAUAGUUUUCAUUUUUGUAAUUUUUUUGUUAAGUUUUGAGGAUUUCAUGUGCUUGAUUUUUGGGUGGAUAUUUGUUUUGCAGUGAUGUCGUUAGUCUUACUGUUGUUCAUUAUAUUGGCCUCUUCAUUUGGUUGUCCUGUUAGUUUAAUUCUAUUGCUGGAGUUAAAUACUUCACAUGCUAUUUAUGUUUGUUCACAGGUGUAAUGAGUGAUGUCGUGGUCACCAUAUUGUAUGUGUUUGAAUUAGAGGAUGCCAUGCUGAUGGCGUUACUGGUCAAAACAGAAGCACAUCACAAAUCCAGUACCACAACAGAGUGACUACAGGAUUGUACAACCAAACAUUCUCUGCCACCACCCUAUAUUUUAUGGGAUGGUUACUAGGGAUAGGCAACAGCCAGUACCCGAGAUCAUUAUUUUUAUUUUUCCAUCUGUGCCAAAAUUAAUAUGUCUGGUAAUAUAAUAAUGUUAUGUCACUGCCUGUAGUAGUAUGGUAGAUACACUUUAAGAAAAUGAAAUGAUUUACAUUCCACUGUGAAAACCCACUGUCAUAAAAUGUUUACUGACGUUGGAGUUACUGUUGCAAUGAAUGUGAUUUUUUAGUAUGACAUGCUAAAAACAACUGCAUUAAAAUAAAUUUGUUUAUUGCAGGAGGAGUGACGUCUUUUACAUAUAUUAUAUAUUGUAUUGCCCCAUAUUUUGUUUUUUGUUUUUUUUGGAAAGGGAGUGGAGGCACACACUUUUGAGAAGAGUUCAAUGGUCCAUCUGCUAAUGAUUAUAGAUCAAUGAAUAAUAUUUUGUGGCUUAGUUGCUUACAUUUCUUCAAAAGUAAAACUGUGAAAGGUGUGAAAUUAAAAUAUUUUGUGAUUGGUUCUGCAUGCAGUGUGGAAUGUUUUGUUAUAAUUGAUUCAAUUAUUCUGAAUUUAUUCGCUUACUGUGAACUAUUAUACAUCAGCUGUUUUAGGUAUAUUACUGACUUCUGAACAUUUCUGCCUCAUCAGAGAUUCACUGUGUAUAUGUUUAGAAUAAGAUAAAUGAGCCAAUUGUAACACAUUCGGCCAGUGGUACACAGCUUCUUAUUUGGCAUGUAUUCAGUUCUUUUUCCUUGAUUCUUUCCACACAUCGCCUCUCCUCUGCUUGUAACUUCAGAUUGAUCAGUCUAUGAGAGUACAUAAUGGGCUAUGAAAAUGAACACUUAAUUACAACAGUUUCUUCUAGGUAUGUUCAGUUUGGUUUGACCUUUUGGAUGUGGCAUGAUCUUGAAGAAAUAAAACAAGUAGAAGUAGUAACAGUUAUGACCAGUGAUUGAUUUAUAAAAAAAGAAGAGGUACCAGUACUGUGACUUACUAGAUGUAUCCUAUGGCAUACCAUCACAAAUCAAGCACUGGUUAUAAAAACAA